AGAUUCAAAUUUUCUUGUAAACAUAAUGAUAAACAAAGCGCCAUAAAACCUAAUUGAUGAGUCUCCAAAAUGAAAGGAUUCUGAAAUUGGUUGUAGUAGUGGUCGCGGUGGCAAUUGAAGUAGACAAUGCGGCUGUUCCGAGUUGCGAUUGAAAUUGCAGAGUCUGAUUAUUAGGCAAUUCUGAGGCUACCAAGGAAUGAAGAAAAUAAAGAGAGAAUAGAUAACACACCCAGAAAAAGGAGAGAAUAAACUUUUAAAAAAGAAAAUGCAUUUUUGGAUCUUGAAUCUCAAUAUGCAAUAAAUUUAAAUCAUACAUCAAAUUCCAAUUAAAGCUUACUGUCUCUUAAUGACUUGGCUCUCCAAGUUAAUUAGUGCUUUGAAUUUGAAAUAUGAAGACACAUGUUUCAAUUUUCAAUUUCAAUUGAUUUUUGUUUCUGGAUUUUUUAUUUUGAUAAGUUCCAUGUUCUUGAGAACUGAGAAGACCAGAUAAACUUCAAUUUAUUCAAAUCGAAUAAAAAAAUUUAAUUAGUUUUUGUUGGCUAACAAUUUUACGAAAUGAAAAAAUGUGUAAUAAUAUCACAUUCUCAUCAUAUGUUUUCAUACUUUUUAUAUCCUUUGGAGGAAUUGUUACUGUAGAAUUGCACUUUUUGGCGGAUGCAUUUAUCCCCAUUCCAUGCCUAAAACACAAAAAUCUAUUUUCCCAAGUCUCUUGACACCCUGGACCGCACAUAUCAUCCCUAAUACUUAAUACUUAUAGACAAAUUCCUAAAAACCAUACGACUGAAGACUGAACAUCUAGUUUCUGAGUGAUAAUCUGGAGUACAAGCUUGCAUUCGUCAAUUCUUUUUACUUCAGACUUGUUGCAAAAUUGCAGGUCAAGAGAGCCUUCUUCAAAUUAAGCAAAACCCGUUUCUGAUUCUUUGUCAGGUACUUUUUAAUUUAUAUCACAACAUACACAAACACGUGUAUACCGACUGCAUAUGCUCGUUUUUAUACUUGAGAGAAACAUUCGUUGUCUGCAAUAUGCUCAUGAUUUUGGAAUUGAGAAAGUGAAAUUUAGAGAUUUCGAGGAGGUGGUUUUAGUUGUUUAAUUCUUGUUAAGAUUUUUGCUUUAUUUAUGUGAAGAAGAUUUUUGGACAUUUUUCGAGGGCUGGCCGUUUUAAACUUAAAGCCCCAAUAAAAAAGAAAAUCAUGGAAAGAUUUUCCAAGAUUUGCAGCUUGCUAAAAUACAUGGAAACCAACCUGCGGAUUUGCGAGACCUUAUAUCAACUUCAAGGGUUUGCCGUUUGCGAACUCUCUGUGUGCGAAAGUGUCGAAGCAACCCAGCUUGUGGAUUUCGUCGGUACUUUUGCAGUGGUAGACUAGUAGAGUAGUAGCUUUUAGGGAUUAAUUCCGGAUUGGAAUUGGUCUUAGGUCUAUGGAGUGGAGAAG
rnacentral:lncRNA from 1 species